UUUAUAAAAAUGCAAAAAAUCAGCCCAUUUCUCCCAUAGUGAUCAGCCAAACCAGAAGAGAAGAGAAACCAAGGAAGAACAAAAACCCUAGGUGGAGAAUUGGUGAAAAUUCAAGGAAACAAGUGACAAAAGGUAAAAUUUCUUGAUUUUGACAUGUGAUCUACCUUUUCCAUGUAUUUCUCCUCAUUUUCCAUGGUUCAAUUACAUAUUUUCAUGAUUAAUUUAUGGCUGGUUAGAAUGGGUAUGGAGAGAGAAUGAUGUUAGAUUGAUUUGAUUCUAAGUUAUGUUAGUGUUUUUAGUUAGUUAACAUGUUUAGAAACAAAACAACAAGAAAAGAAUCCAUUUUCCCCAUGAAUCUUCAAUGGCCGAACCCUUUGUGAAGUGUAGAAGUAAUGAAUUGAUUUUGUGAUCAAGUGAAUUGGUUGAAAAAUUGAUGAAGUGAUGAUUUAUGGUGGGAAAAUGGAAUGGGAAAAUUUUUAGUGAUAGUGCACCACAAUGGCUGAAAUUUUCAAGAAGAAUUGUGAGGGUUGUUAGGCUGAAUUUUAGAUUAUUAGAAUUUUAUUUAGUGAAUUGAAAUAUUAGAAAUGAAAAUGGAGCAAUUUGGAGCCAAAUCGGACACAAUUGUCAUUUAAUCGGGUAAUAGGCCGAAUUAGGUCAGUACCGCAUUUAAGCGAUAGUCGAAUAAGUUGCAUAUCAUAUCAUGCAUAUACACCGAGCCUGAAUUGAUUUUAUAAUGGUCAAGCAUUGAUGUGGUGAAUUAUGUAUUGUACAUUGUGGAUAGGUGGUGAGUAAAUUACACUGGUAAAAGUACAGAGAUUGUGCUUUGAGACUGGGAUUAGGAGUGCAUCGACUCCUAGAACUGUGAGUGAACUUAUUAUCGUCUUAAUUAUCUAGAAUAGUUUUAUACAAUUGUGUGAUUUUAUGGAAAAAUGAGUUUAAAUGGUAAAUUGCUAUGUUUUAGGAGAAAUUGUGAUUUUAUAAAAUGAUUUUAUAAAUUUUUUGAAAAAUUGAGUACUAGUUUUGAAAAUAGAGUAAUUGGAGACUGCUUGCUUGUGUUGUAAAUUUAUGGUUUUAAAUUGAAUGGCUUAUGACAAUAUAUGAGCAUGAAUGGCUAAACUGAUUUUUGGUGUUAGAAUUAUUUGUAUUGUGUAUUCAGCCUUGAGAGGCUAGGUUGCAAUAAAUUGCCAUGUCAUGUAGAAAAAGAUUUUAUAAAUCAGGUGGUAGAUAAAAUAAUCCAUAGUCACUACAAUGGUGGGGGUUUUCGUGGACUGCCUAUGAGAGGGGCACGGUAACCCAAUUAUAUAUUUACCUCUGGGGAGAGAUAUUGGAUGAAGUAUCUCCUGAGGUAAAGAUUUGACUGCACUUCACGUGGACCACCGCGUGAGAGUGAGACUCAGCCAACGCCAAGGCAUGGUUAAAAUUUUGGAUGUAAAGACAUUUAACAGCCUUGGCGGACUCGAUUGGGAUAACCCUCGAUCAAGGUAUCCUUGAUAACUGAGUAUGAGAAUGAUUUUUUUGGCACGAGCCAAGCGUUUCAGGAAAUCAUAAGCCUAGUUAUUUAUUUGGUUGAAAUAAGUUGAAAGGUAAUGAAAUUACAAUAUGAUGACUUAUUUUAAUUCAUCUCCAUUUACUCGCCUUUAGAUAGUUUAGAUGGUGUCUGUUUACUCACUGAGAUUUUAUAAUCUCACCACCCUCAUUUCCUUACAUUUUAGGCUCGGAGAAUUCCAUAGUUAGCUGACUUUGACAAUGACCUUCAUUUGGACUUGAAUCGGCAAAAGUUGUAGGUUUUCAGCUUCCGAUACAUUUUGGUUAGAUGUGGGCCCACGUGUCGCUAUAAAAGUAAUUUUAUGCUUUGGUUAUUUGCUUUAUAGUAUAUAUGAAUAUAAUUAACUUUUACGCUAUAAGAAUUAUUUACCGAUAGCUUUAUAAAAAUUAUUUUACAAGAAAAUAGUUUAUUUUAUUUAAUAUUUUUAUUAUAUUCAAAUGGUCAAAUUUUCACUUCAAAUGAACAUUUUAGAUACUUAAUUUGUUUUUAAAUCACUAAAUAUAUAUUUUCUCCUUACCUACUACAUUUUUAGCAAGUUUUGAGAUUUUCGACAAAAAAUGACGAAAAUGUCCCUGUGAGCUAGAAAACAAUAUGUUAUGUUCUGAUUUGGAAAUGACUCGUAAUCCUUCGAAUUAUGAUAUUUGAUAACUAUUGCUCACUGGAGAAGUGCGAAAACUAAUACGAGAGCCUUGCGAGGUUUCGAUCGGCAUUUGGGGUGAAGAAUGUCUGUCGAGGCUUCGCGGCGGUUGUCACGGGCUCGAUGAGAGUUUCGGGUCAUGACAUUUACUUUCUUGAAAAAUAUUAUUUUUACUUGCAAACGACUACCCGAUGAUAAGAUUUACUCGUUAAACUUGCGAAGGCGAGUUUCCCUAAUAAUUCCUUAGGUGAGAGAAUAUUCUCAUAUCCCACUAGUAUGAUGGGCAAAUUCAGAAAAUAUCUUCGAUAAAAGGUUUCGUUUGGCAUUACACAGAUUUUUGUCAUACAUUUCAUAAUCGCAUCAUACGCACGUCACACUCGUAAAACUAAAUAAAAUAUUUUAAUUUAUUAAUAGAAUAAAAGAUAAAAUAAAUAAAUAAUAAUUAAAGAAACAUAAGAAUAAAAGUAAUGGGUUAGGAUAAUAUAUAAUUAAAUGGUACAGUUUGUAGAACGGGCAUCAUAGGGGAUGCUAAUCCUUCCCUAUGCGUAACUGUACUCUCAAAUCCAACUUUAGAUAAAAUACGUAGACCGGUUUAUCAUUUUUUCGAUGGAUUUAAAAUCAAUUUAAGAUUUCGUCGAAUAAAACCAAUUUAAUAGGUACCUAGAUAAAAAAUAUUGGUGGAGAUGAAAUGCCCCAUACUUUGAUAUGGUGAUAAAUAAAGAUUAUCGAUGCUAAUCGAGGCCAAUUAAAAUGUUUAAAUGUGAUGGAAGAUUAAAGGAGUAGUUUAGAAUAAAAUGAUCCGCACGCGAGAAAAUAAUAAUAAAAUAAUAAUAAAUUUUAUCGGAGGAGAAUUUGUGAGAUAAAAGGUGAUUCGGAAGUCAAGUGAGGCAUAAUAAGGUCUUUUAGGCACCAAGGAGACAAGAUAAAAUUUUUAGAAUAAAGUAAUAUUAAAAUAUUAAUAUUUAGCCGGAUAUCGAAAUCAGUCAUGAAAAAAGAUCAUAUGGUUGAUCCAAGUGGGGGAGAAGAAAUACAAGUGAAUUUUUGUAGAAAUAAGCAACAAAAGUAAAAUACGCGUAUUUGGUUAAGUCGAAUCAAAGCAGAUAAGUAAAUAUUUAAAUAUUGUGAUAAUACCGCGUUGAGGUGCAAUUUGUAUAUUUCGGUGGUACACGCAUCGAGAAAGAAAGUUAGAUGAAAAUUGAAAUUUUUAGACAUAUUAAAAGGAUCGAAUUUAACAUAUAANGAUCUAUACCGCGUUGAGGUGCAAUUUGUAUAUUUCGGUGGUACACGCAUCGAGAAAGGAAGUUAGAUGAAAAUUGGAAUUUUUAGAUGUAUUAAAAGGAUCGAAUUUAACAUAUAAAGAUUUAAAGGAUAUAUAGUGAAAUUAAUGAGAAAAAUAAAAUGAAUAGAGUAAAAUAAUAAUAAUAUAUAAAAAAAAUAUUAGAAGACCAACAUGGGCAGCCGCCUAUGUGGUCAAUAAAAGAGUCAAAGACUCUUGGUGAAUUGGAGGGGGGGGGUCGGCCAUGUGGAACACAUAGUGAAGGAAGAAAAAAAUUUUGAUGUGGCUGGCCAUGAUGGAAUAUUGUGGAAGAUUCAUGAAGGCAUAAAAUAUAUAUAUAUAUAUACCAUUGAGUAAGCUAAGUCAAGAGACAAAGAAGAAGAGAGGUCGGUUGAGGAGAGUAAAAGAGAAAUAAAAGAGCAAAGGAAGAAGAAAGAACAGAGAGAAAGAAAAACAAAAAGAAAAUCGUGCAUGAGAAAGGAAAACAAAAGGAAAAGAGAGCUGAGUUGAGGGGCUGAUUUUGCUACCAUUCAAGAAGAAAAAGAGAGCCAUUUAAGGGCCGGUUUUGGAGGCUGAAAAGAGCCAUUUUUUUGCUGGUUUUGGAGGCUGAAAAGUGCCAUUUUUCUGCUGGUUUUGGAGGCCAAAAGUUGCAGAAUUUUGUAGCAAAAAAUUUAACUUUUGAGGUACUGUUUUGAUGGUUAAUUGUUGUUUUGGUUGCAAAUUUUUUUAAGGGAAAGGUGCAGCUUAGUUGCUGAAAUUUUAAGGAAAACAAAGCAGCAUAGCUGCUGAUUUUGAAGCAAAAAUAAGAAGCCUUAGCUGCUGAAAAAUUAAAAGUUGAAAGGCAAGAAAGGGUGACUGGUGGUGAGAGGGAGAAAGAGGAAGAAAGUGGGAUGGUUUGUGCAUGUGAAGAGAAGAAAAAGGAAGACAACAAGGCUGCUGGACGGUGGGAGAGAAAGAAAAGAAAAGAAAAGAAAAGAAAGGUAAAGAAAAUAACAAGGAAAAUGGGCAUGGCCCAACAAGCAAGAAAAAUGGACAUGGUCCAAUAAAGGAAAAAUGGACAUGGUCCAAUUAAAAAGAAAUGGGAGAAGUCCAUGAAUAAGAGUCCAAAAACAACAAAGGAAGAAAAAUUCAAAAGAAAAGGAAGGUGGAGAUUUGGGCCAACCUAGCUUAAUUGGGUAAAAUUUCUUUACUUUUCACCAUGAUUUAUUUUGAAAUUGGACUAUAUAGAGGCUAGCUUAUUUUAUUUAAUUAUGCAUUGGUUAGUUGGUAAUAUGAAGUAAAUUUAAGUUGCUUAGAAGGUUGAAAUAGGCACUUAAUACCGUAAAUAAGUUACUAAUGUUAAUAAUCUAAAGAAUUACGUGAGUAAAGGAUACAAUUAAUUAUAGUAAAAUUAUAUUAAGAUAUGAAUUAUGUGAGUGGAUUUAUAAUAGAAUGAGAGGAAGGGAAGUGGAAUUAAUGCACUAAAUAUAGUGGAUUUAAAUUGUGUUAGGAAAGUUAAUGUGGAAGCGUGUCGAGCAAAGUAUAUGAUUGGCAAUUAUGAGUAAUUGUACGUGUAUAUGAAGUAAUAGCGACGUAGAAAUCCAGCUAUUGUGAUGUGAGUAACCUUACCAUCAUUUUUUUUAUCUAAAGUAUGUUUUUAUUCGGUUUUGGUGAAAUUUUAUAAAAAAGAGUUUAAAUGGUAAAUCUUUGUGUUUUACAAACAAAAUGUAUUUACAUGAAAAGAUUUUAUAAAUUGUCUUGAAAUCGAAUAAUGAUUUUGAAAAAUAGAGUGAUUGGAGACCACUUGUUAUAUUGUAAAUUUAUGAUUUGAAAUCGAAUGGCUUAUGACAAUAUUUGCAUGAAUGGCUGAAUUGAUAUUUGUGUUGAAAUGUAUGAGAUAUGUAUUUAGCCUUGAAAGGUUGUGAAUUACAAUAAUUGCCAUAUCAUGUUAUUGAAUUUUAUUGUAUGAUGGGUUUAGCUUGCUGCAGUGGGCGAAUUUUAUGGACCAGCCUAUUAGAGGGGCACAGAAUCCGGAUAUAUAUAUGUACCUCGGUCGGAGAGGCACGUAAGGUAUCUCUUGAGGUAUGGACAGAGUUCACGUCACACCGAACCACCUCAUGAUGAUGAACUCCGCUAACACCAAGGAAUGACGGUGUUUUUCAAACUUAAAAAAUGUUUUAUGUGUAUACGAAAUUUUAACAGUCUUGGCGGGCUCGAGUGUACGCCUCUGAUCAAGGUGUCGUCGAGUACUAUUUGAUGGCAUGAGCCAAAUGUUUAUAAAAGUCAUAAGCCUAAAUGAGAAAUUAAAUGAAAUACAACCGUUUGCAUGGGUUGGGAUGAAUUUUCAAAUUGUGAAAUACGUAUUGUGAUGGGAUAUCUUAAUUG
rnacentral:lncRNA from 1 species